rnacentral:lncRNA from 1 species
ACUAACGGCUGAGUCAGAAGUGUGCCUGAUGUUUCUGUGAAGAGAAGGAAGCCAGUGUGAUUGGAGUAGCAGAAGAGACUAGAAGAUGGGGAUGAAGAAGGAAUCGGGUGAGAGCAAAGGAAGGCCGUGAAGCCAUUGUCAGAAAUUUGUCCUUUAUCCUGACUGAGCAGAAGAAACACUGAAGGAUUUUGAGCAGAGGCAUGUCUUGAUUUCAUUUCAUUUUUAGAGGUAUAGAUAAUUCAGGCUGCUAUUUUGAGACUCGACUGAGAAGAGGUGUGUACUGGUUUCUGACAACUUCUGAAGAUUGCGCCAUUGGACUAGAGAGAAAACUUCCAGGACUCUCAUUGAAGAGGCACCCGUUUCCUACAGAUGUGUCCCUCCACUCUUUGAAGCCGAGGGCAAAAUCAUGCUGAAGACCUAGAAAUCCCACCAGUCUGAAGACCAGCUGCAACCACAAUGGGUUAGCCCUUUUCAGGUGCUGCUGACCAUUCAUACUAAUCUGUCAAGUUAGCUGGUGUUAAGCCAUGGAUUCUUCAUACUUAGAGAAAACCAGUCCCUUUGGGAUCCCUCCAAGGAAAACAGUGAUUUUCUUGUGAACCCUCGGACCGGCUUAAGUUAACAUUCAAAGUCCAGUCAAGGCCCUAGAUAAGACUUCAGAAAGGGAACAUGCACUUUUCAGGUUAUUCUUCUCUCCCAAACCCUGGUUCUUUGCAUGCAAGAUAUAAUGAAUUAGGAAGACUUUUUCAUAGGCUUAGGAUUGUUCUCUUGGAUUCCCCAGGAGAUCUGUUCCAUAUUCUUUGGUAUUUUAAAAUUUGGUCUAUCUAUCUUAUUAAUCAUCCAAUCUCAAUGUGGCUUAAAAUGUUCUUCUGAAACCAAAUAAAGGUACAAAGACCAUGGUGCUCCAACAAGCUGGAUGGCAGCCAGGUACUCAUGAGUACUGACAAUUAUAGGUGUGAAAUUUUCAUUUCUCAUCAUUAUUCCAGGAUGCCUCCUCUUCAGCAUAAAGCAGCCAGAAAGAUUGAUGACCAGCUUCCCCAGGAUUGAGGAACUGAUAAGUGGAAAGAGGGGACUGAAACCACCCCAAUUGUCCCGUAGAAUUGAUGUUUAUGAUCUUUUGGAAUAAACAUAGAUAUUGACCCUCAUGGUCUUAAAGAUUGAAAUGUACAUUGCCUGAGUUCCUUCCUCAGAAAACAAAAACUCAGGGCUCUGAGUAUCAAGGAACUGAAACUCACCAGGUCACCACAUCCAGACAAUGAGACAACAGACCCCUUAUUCAUCAUGAUUACUUCCUUCCCCCUCCGUUAUUCCCGUUUUCCCACAUGUAGCUCCAUUCCUUCCCUUUUAUAUAAACUCCCAAUUUUAAUUGAUUGGAGAGGACUUGAGACUUAUCUCUCAUCUCCUCAGCUGAUAUCACCUGAUUAAAGCCUUUCUUUCAUGGCAAUACUCAUUGUCUCAGUGACUGGCUUUCUGUACAGCAAGGAACAGGAUCUAGACCAAACCCCCUGGCAUUUUGGUAACAAGGGGAAUAAGAAACCUAGCCUUACUGACAGUUUAUUUCUUAAGUUGACUUUAUUAAAAGGUCAAGGAAAGAAAACUAGCCCAAAGAAUAAAUGAACAUACCCACUUUAUCACUUUGACAGGUUUAACAAAUUCCUAAUGAAGAAUAAUUUAUGUGUUUGCUCAGGCAUGGUGGCUUAUGUCUGUAAUCCCAGCAUUUUGGGGGGCUGAAGCAGGAGGAUUACCUGAGGCCAGA